AGAAUUUUUUUCCUUCUUCUCUCUUCUUCCUUUCGUGACCGUCGACAGACCUCUCUGUCUCUUUUUCAUCUCCUCACGUGAGCAUCGAUCGGGCUUCUCCUCCCAGAUGCCAGUUGUCGUUGCCGCCCUCGCGUCGUCGGAGAGCUGCGCCCGACGCCAAGCAUUCGAUUGGUUUCACGUUCGACAGCUUUAGUCUAUCGCCCCAGCCAUGCAAGUUGCGCCUUUGCCCAGCGCCGUCUUCAGCCACUUUUCCAGCCAGUCGCGUUGCACGAGUCUAGCGACACGUUCCCCUAGUCGUGCGACUCUUUGACCACCGUUCACCACUGUGAUUCGUCAGCCUUGCAGGUCCGUGCGCGAAUCAUUGUGAAGCUGCCACUGCCAUUUGUUCAGUGGCUCCGUUAGCCGGAAUCUUAGAUUUCUGGGAUCGGAGUUUCGAGGCAUUUUGUGGCACUGUCUAGCAACUUCGAUGGUGAAAUCGGGGCAUUUUCGGUGCACUUUGUGGGGGUUUUAGCCUGAAAAUUUAAAUUGAUUUUGGUUCAAAUAGUAGUUCUUGUCUCGAGGUCUUUCAAAGCAAAGAGGGGAUAUCAAAUUAUUUACGCUAAAUUUUGAGGCAAAGGUAAGGACCAGAUGAAGAAUGAUAAGAAGAAUCGUACUCGGUCGUUGGGACAUGACGUCGCUUUCGCAUUAGUUCAUCUCUUUAAUUUGACAUGAUUUGGUUUAGGAGUCUGUUUUUUUUUUUUUUAAACUCUUGGUUCUUUCAUUUGUUCAUUUAUUUAAUUGUUUAUUUGAUUGAUUUAAUCUUAAUAAGAGACAGUGGUACCUCGAAUAGUAUUUUAUGAUUUUAUUAGAGCUUCCUUUAUUAAAAUAAAAGUUUAGUUUUUUUCCCUUUAAGAACUAUCUCGUCAAAAUUUAUGCAUGUGUGUAGUAGUGUCCUGAAAGUAUAGUAGAAAACCGGGUCGUUACAAUUGGUAUCAGAACCUAAGUUUUAAGUUCUAUAGAUUGACUUACUAGUGAGUCCAAAUUGUCCCAUUGGCCAUAAGUGGAUUCUUCGUCAUUGCUAGGUAUGUCCCUCGAGGGAAGUUCUUUAAGAUUUUAUUUACAAAAAUUUACCUGAAUUAUAGCUGUUAUUGACAAGAUUUCUUGCAAGGGUUUUGUUAAAGUUGAUUAUGUGUAGUUAUCAGGAGAUGACACCAUGGAUAAGGAGGGGCGGUCGAGGUAAGAAUGUUAGUAGGGAGCAGGACCCUGAUGUACAGGACCCUGGGGUGCAAAACCCAAAAAUGUAGCACUUUCCGCCUCUUGACCCUUCUGGGUCAACUUGGCAAAGGGUCAGAACAAGAAGCGGGCCUCAAAAUCCAAUCGUACCCCCACAAGUUCAGACACCCCCAAAGAUCCCGACCAAGUAUACCACCAUGGUUGUAGCAAUUGGAGAAGUUGUUACGAAGGUUGUAGUGGGACAACUAAAGGACAUUAAGGCGGAAUAGAUAUCCUGGGCAUGUUUAGUUGCAAUAGGUAUCUCCUCUGCAGGUUUCAAUGUUGCAACUGUAGAAUCAAGACUAGGCUUUGGACAAAAUUGUGGCAAGCAUUUCAAAGGUGGCUAGGCACUUGCGAGACUUUAAAAAGUAUGACCACCUGACAUUCGAUGGGUCGCUGAAGGACCAGGCAGAGUUGUGGUUGUCUUCCAUAGAAGGUAUCUUCCAGUACAUGAGGUUCUUAGAAGAAUAGAAAUUACAGUGUGUCAUAUUUGUGCUCGUUGAUAAUGCCAAGCGUUGGUGGCACUUAGCAGAGUGAACGAUAGAUGCCAGUGGAGGGCAAACAAUGUAGGACCAAUUCAAAGAACGAUUCUACGAAAAAUACUUCUCUGCCCACGUGAGGUACAACAAACAGACUGAGUUUAUGAACCUAAAGUAGGGGACCAUGAAGUUGGAAGAGUAUGAGGAGAAGCUUGACAGGUUGUUUUGUUUCGCCCCCGACUUUGUGUCCACUUAAGCAAAAAGAGUUGAAAGAUUUGUUCAGAGACUUCGAGAUAGGGUAAAAGGCAUUGUGCAAGCAUUUGAGCCUACCACCUAUGCAACAGCAUUUCGUGUGGCAACACGAGUAGGCUGUCCAGGGCUAGAGUUUCUAAAAUCCUUGGUAGUAGAACUCAAAUCGGCCAAAAGAGAAAAGCAUACCAAAGAGCUUCAGAGCCUCCACCAAAAAGCUAGAACACAAACAGACUUCUAGGGCACAUCAUGCCCCUGUAAUAUUUGACUAUGGUUUAACGCAUUCAUUCAUAUCGUUUGUGUUUGUGAAGCAUGCUAGUAUAGAAGUAGAGUCAUUCUGUUAUGUAUUGUCAGUUUCUACUCCAUCCGAAGAUAUCAUUCAUGAGAUACAGAGGGUAAAAGCAUGUCAGUUUGUGACAGCAGAGCAACAUCAAAUGUGACCUUGUUAGUCAUAGAUAUGGCAGAUUUUGAUGUGAUUUUAGGCACGUAUAGGUUGGCUACCAACCAUGCCAUCACAGGUUGUUUUCGUAAAGAGGUUGUCUUUAGCCCGCUUGCGAGAGCUAGCUUCAAGUUCAGAUGGGCUAAGACUAAGGCUUUGCCUAGGGUAGUUUCAACUAUAAGGGUUAGGAGGAUGGUUAGCCAGGGUGCUUGGGGCCUAUUGGCCAGUGUAGUUGAUACCGGAGAUCCUGAAGUCACCUUGUCGCUUGAGUCAAUUGUGAGGGAUUAUCCAGAAGUUUUUUAGAGGAUCUCCUAGGGUUUCCACCAUAUAGAGAGAGAGAUUUCACCAUUGAAUUGGAACCAGGCACUACCUCGAUCUCUAAAGCCCCUUAUAGAAUGGCUCCAGCAAACUAAAGAAGCUUAAGGCCCAGUUACAAGAGCUGGUUGACAAGGCUUUCAUACGUCCAAGUGUGUCAUCCUAGGGUGCGCCAGUGUUGUUUUUGAAGAAAACAGAUGGUUCAUUGCAUAUACUACAGGGAGUUGAAUAAGGUAACCAUAAAAAACAAGUAUCCACUCCCUAGAAUUGAAGAUUUGUUUGAUCAACUGCAGAGAGCUACAAUAUUCUCCAAAAUUGACCUCAGGUUAGGUUACCACCAACUGAGGAUAAGAGACAAUAACAUCCCUAAGACUAUGUUUCGUUCUAGAUAUGGACAUUACGAGUUCAUUAUAAUGUUGUUUGGUUUCACUAAUGCUCCUACGGUAUUUAUGGACUUGAUGAACAGAGUGUACAAGGAUUUUCUUGACACUUUUAUGGAAGUUUUUAUUGACAAUAUUUUGGUCUAUUCUAAGACAGAGGCAGAGCAUGAGGAACAUCUUAGGAAGGCCUUGGGAACCUAAAGGAGAAUGAGUUGUAUGCCAAAAUCUCCAAGCAUGAAUUCUGGUUACGUAAAGUGACCUUCUUGGGCAUGUGAUGUCGAAGGAUGGCAUAUCUGUGGACCCAGCUAAGAUUGAGGCGAUUAGGACUUGGCCUCACCCCACGAAAGUUAGAGAGGUGCAUAGUUUCAUGGGGUUGGCAAGUUAAUACCAUCAAUUUGUAGGGAAUUUCUCUUGCAUAGCCACUCUUUUGACUCAGUUGACCAGAAAGGGAGCAUCAUUUGUUUGAGCAGGGCUUAUGAGGACAAUUUUCAGAACCUCAGGUAGAAGCUAGUCUUUGCACUGGUUCUUACAGUACUAGAUGGUUCUGAAAGUUUUGUGAUUUACAGUGAUGCUUUUGAGAAGGGGCUAGGUUGCAUGUUUAUGCAACACGGUAAAGUGGUUGUCCAUGCCUCCCGCUAGUUGAAGAACCAUGAGCGGAACUAUCCUACGUAUGACUUAGACCUGAUGGCAAUAGUUUUUGCCUUGAAGAUUUGGAGACACUAUCUUAAGGGGAAAAUAUACAGAUUUUCAUCGAUUAUAAGAGUUUGACAUAUUUCUUCACUUAGAAGGAGUUGAAUAUGAGGCUAUGUCGGUGGCUCGAGUUGGUUAAAGAUUAUGAUUGUGAGAUUCUGUAUCACCCUAGCAAAGUAAUUAUGGUGGUCGACGCUUUCAGUAGGAAGAUGACUCACUCAGCAACCUUAGUCACCACACAGGCUCAAUUAUGUAAGGAUUUUGAGUAAGUUGGGAUCACAAUAGCAGUAGGGGAAGUCAUCUUACAACUAGCACACUUGAGAGUGCAACCGACAUUGAGGUAGAGAAUUAUAAAUGCACAACAGGGAGAUUUAUACCUUGUGCAGAAGCUCCAUCAGGUGGACUUAGGACAGGACAACGAAUUUUUGGUGUCCUUGGAUCAUGCUCUUCUUUAUCAGGGACGUUUGUAUGCACUUACAGAUAGUGUUCUUAAGACCUAAUUGUUGGCAGAAGCUCAUAGCUUCCCAUUCUCGAUAUACCUAGUAGUACCAAGAUGUAUCAAGACUUGAAAUAGUACUAUUGGUGGUUUGAUAUGAAAAUGGAGAUAGUUGAUUAUGUCAGUAAAUGUUUGGUCUAUCAGCAGGUGAAGACCUUGAGAUAGAAGCUAACAUGUUUGUUACAGCCUUUGAACGUACCAAAAUGGAAGUGGGACAGUGUUUCCAUGGAUUUCAUUGUGGGUUUAUCAAAAACAACGAAAGGUUAUACAGUAAUUUGGGUGUUAAUAACAGGCUCACUAAAGUGACACAUUUCAUUUCGAGGAAGCCCAUGUAUCCAGUGAGUAGAGGGCGCACCUGUAUAUGAAAGAGAUAGUGAGGUUACAUGGGGUGUCAGUGUCAAUUAUGUUCAACAAAGAUCCUCGCUUUACUUCCAACUUUUGGAAGAGCCUUUAGGAAGCGUUGGGACUCAAUUGAAUUUCAGUACAGCCCCCACCCUUAGACUCACGGGCAAAUGGAGCACUUGAAUAAGAUCUUGGAAGACAUGUUAUGCACCUGUGCUUUGGAGUUUUCAAGGAGUUGGGAUACUCAUCUGCAUUUGUAGAGUUUGCAUAUAAUAAUAGUUAUUAUUAGGCUACUAUUGGCAUGUCACCAUUUGAGGCUCUGUAUGGCAAGGGUUGCAGGUCUCUUGCUUUAUGGGGUGAGGUUAGUGAGCGGAAGUUGAUGGGAACUAAGCUCGUAGGGUCAGAUGACAAAUGAAGCCAUGCAUAAGAUUAGGGCCUGAAUGCUAACAGUGCAGAGCAGACAGGAGAGUUACACUGAUGUUAGGCGUAGUGAUGUUGAGUUCAAGGCGGGGGAUAAAAUGUUCUUGAAGGUAGCACUUAUGAAAAGUGUUCUAAGGUUUGGAAGGAAGGGAAAGCUAAGUCAGUGUUUUAUUGAGUCAUUCAAGGUCUUGAAGCGAAUUGACCCUAUGGCUUACCGGUUGGCUUUGCCACUGUCUCUCUGCAGUCCAUAACAUUUUCCAUGUCUCCAUCAUGAGGAAGUAUAUGACAGAUCCAUCCCACAUGGUGAACUUCAAGCCUUUGCAACUGAAGGAGAACCUGAGUUAUCAGGAGAAACCUAUCCAAAUCCUAGCUAGAGAAGUGAAGACUCUGCGUAACCAUGAAAUGGCAUUGGUGAAAGUUUUAUGGCGGAAUCAUCAGUUUAAGUAAGCAACUUGGAAACGGGAGGACGAGAUGAGGACUUAGUGCCAAUAGCUCUUCUAGGAUUAAAAAGGGAAGAAUGUGACGUCAAUAAGUUUCAAGGUAAAUUUCAAUUUGUUAAUUUGGAAUGUUAUUGUUGGAUAUUAAAGAAAAAAAUGGAAUUUAUUUUUGGGAUUUAAUUAAAAAUAUAUAUUUGGAGAUUUGGGCUUAUUUUUAAUUGUUUCAUUAUGGGGGUUAGAAUAUAUAUACAUAUAUAUAUAUAAAGUUAUAUAUAUUUGUUUAAGGAAAAAAGGGAGUUACAGUUUGUUUGGUAGAGUAAUUGUUUAUAAAUUAGGGUUAAAGUGGUCUCAUUUUACGUGCAAAGAAAAAAUAAAAGAAAUUUUUUUUUCCUUCUCUAUUCUUCCCUUCGUGGCUGCUGGCAGACCCCCCUGUCUCUUUUUCUUCUCCUCGCGUGAGCAUCAAUUGUGCUUCUUCUCCCAGUCUCCAGUUGUUGUCAUCGCCUUCGUAUCGUAGAAAAGCCACAUCUGUGCCAAGCGUUCAAUUGGUUCCACGUUCGACAGCUUCAGUCAAUGGCUCAAGUUGUGCAAGUCGCGCCUCGCUCGACACUGUCUCCAACCACUCUUCCAACCAACCGUGUCGCAUGAGUUUACUAGUGGCAUGCUUCUUUAGCCACGUGAAUCCUUCGAGCGCCUUCACUGCUGCGGUUUGUCAGCUAUAUAGGUCCAUGUAUGAAUCAUUGUGAAACCGCCACUACCAUUUGUCAAUGUCGCCGUUCGCCAAAAUCUUGGAUUUUUGGGGUGAGAUUUAAGGGUUAUUUAGCUUUUCUUGAAUCGAUUUUGAAUGCCCAUUGGGUUAGUCUGAUUUAAGUUAUACCCAUGAUGUGUUGAUGUCUAGAUCGGAGUUUUGAGAAUUUUUUCAGCAAUGUCCAGUAGCUUUGAUGGUGAAAUCAGGGCAUUUUUGGUGCACUUUGUGGGUAAGAUUGUGAUUUUUUUAGUUGCUGAAAAUUAUGUUUUAACCCCUAGAAUUAAGUAUCACACAUAAGGUCAGGUUUAUUGUUUGAUAAUUGAAAGUACUUGGGGUUCACUACAUAUUGGGUAGUUGAUUUGAGGAUUUUUUUAAUAUUUCUUUUGUAGAGGUUUUAGCCUCAAAAUUUAAAUUGAUUUUGGUUCAGGGUAGUGUUUGUCUUGAGGUCUCUUAAAGCAAGGAAGGAAGAUUAAAUUACUUAGUAAGCUACUUACUACCGGUUCCCCCUCGAACCCAAGUUGGAGUUAAAUAUGAAAUUGCAUUUUGUAUGUUAGAUUGAAAUGUUAUGCCAUGCUUGUUGAGCUCUUGGUGGAAUUAUGGAAACCAGUGCAUAUGCCAUGGAAAUUUAGAUAUUGUGUUGUGGCGAUGUUUGAUUGAUGGAUGGAUUUUGAGACUUUUUUUCUUUUGAAACCUCAAAAGGAUGAUUAUAUUUUAUACUCAUUCUUUUC